AGGCGGCCCGGCGCGCCCCAUUCGCGAUGGGCACCCCAUCUUCCUCCUGGAAAAGCCGGGGGACACAGAGAAGGCGGAGGAGCACGCGGGGUGCAGGAGAGCCUACCAGCCCCUUUAGCCGCAGUGCUGGUGAUUCCGGCCGCUGAACCCGGAGAGGAAAGGCUCCCACGCGGCCAGCCGGCCUUGACUGUCCUCUCGCCCUGCCCUUGGCCGCAGUACCCUCCCCUCGGCUGCAGUAACCGCCCCCUACACCUCCAGGCAAGGGCACGCUCAGUGUAGACCACUGCCACUUCAUAGAUGCCAGUGCCACUUAAGAGUGGUGUUGGGUUUUUUUUUUUUCCUUUCCUCCUCUCUGCACACCAGCACAUUGUACCCGAGAGAAACUCACGGCGGUGCACUGCAGACACCGCCCAGCUCCAGGGCCCGAAGACCCUCCGACCAGGCCCCGGGAUGCCUGAGGUCUCCCAGGUCAUUACGUGGAGGAACUCAGGCCUGCUCCCUGCGCAGGAGGAGGAGGCGUCGCGGGAGCUGCAGUCCCCGAUCCUUCCCAGGAAGCCGGCCGGGUGGAAGGGGAGAGGGCCGUUAUCGUGGUGCGAAUCCAACUCGCAGCCUCUGGGAGCACGUUGCUAAUAAAGGUCAAAUUAAAACAACUAAGUGGUGCCGGCAGGGACGCGCCGCAUGGUCAGGAGAAGCCCGGCUAUUAAUCAUCCAUAAGGAGCAUUGCUCUUCUGGUGUGGGAGAAUGGGGCUGUGCGACAGCCCCCCGGAGUUGCGCUCUGCUCUGAACCCUAAGCUCCCCCAGAGCAAGUGGAUUGCGCAGCCUAUUACCCCACCUCCCCACGGCCCCCUCUUGGGGCGGCACCACCCUAGAUGGCAGGAAUUCGGAGAAAAUGCGGUGUCACGUCCGCCGCUAUGCCCGCACACGCGUCUGCGCCAACUCCAGCAACACGUGGGGACCGUGAAUCUGGGCGUCUGCUCUCCACUUAGGUGGUUAUGUGGGUAUACUUAUAUGAUUACUGAUUAAAACCAAAUUGGACGGAGAA
rnacentral:lncRNA from 1 species